AUUAUGGAGAGUUUGAUCCUGGCUCAGGAUGAACGCUGGCGGCGUGCCUAAUACAUGCAAGUCGAGCGAACAGACGAGGAGCUUGCUCCUCUGACG
rnacentral:rRNA from 1 species